rnacentral:rRNA from 1 species
UACGGAGGAUCCGAGCGUUAUCCGGAUUUAUUGGGUUUAAAGGGAGCGUAGGCGGACGCUUAAGUCAGUUGUGAAAGUUUGCGGCUCAACCGUAAAAUUGCAGUUGAUACUGGCAGUCUUGAGUGCAGUAGAGGUGGGCGGAAUUCGUGGUGUAGCGGUGAAAUGCUUAGAUAUCACGAAGAACUCCGAUUGCGAAGGCAGCUCACUGGAGUGUAACUGACGCUGAUGCUCGAAAGUGUGGGUAUCAAACAGG